rnacentral:rRNA from 1 species
GACGAACGCUGGCGGCGUGCUUAACACAUGCAAGUCGAACGGUGAAGCGCCUUCCUUUUUGGUGGGUGGGGAGGAGCGGCGAACGGGUGAGUAACACGUGAGUAACCUGCCCCCUUCUGCUGGACAACCGCAAGAAAGUGUGGCUAAUACGGGAUAUUCUGGGUCUGUCGCUUGAUGGGUCUGGGAAAGAUUUGGUUUCGGUGGGGGAUGGGCUCGCGGCCUAUCAGCUUGUUGGUGGGGUGAUGGCCUACCAAGGCGGUGACGGGUAGCCGGCCUGAGAGGGUCGACGGUCACGGUGGGACUGCGCCGCCGCCCCGCCUCCUACAGGCGGCAGCAGUGGGUAUUCUUGCACGGUGGGCGGCAGCCUGGUGCAGCGCCGCCGCGGUGGGGAUGGUCUCCUUCUCGUUGUGAACCUCUUUCGCCAGUGAAGCAGUCCGGCCUCGUUUGUGCGUGUGUUGACGGUAGCUGGUUAGGAAGCGCCGGCUAACUACGUG